CGUUAGAAUUAGUUUAUUUUUGCUCAUAGGUAUACAUUAAAAUACCUUUAAUAGUGGCUGCGUCCGUCUCCAUUAUCCUAAAACAGAUUUUUUUUGUUUUGUUGUUGUAAUUCGAUUUAAAAUAUUUAUUAUCACGAGAUUAAUCAUAAUUUUUUCAAGGGAGGUAAUAAAAAUAAUAGUAUAAUAAUAUCAUACUUAUUGAAGUAUUCCAAUAUGUCUCGCAUCUGUGGGUUGUUCCGUAGCACGACCAGAACAUCGUCGCCUAGCAGUAGCAGCCUUUAAUCUUAUCAUCUCGGAGGGCAUCAAUUUAACGAGAAUUUAGUACUGGAGGACAAAUACGC